GGGGAUAUAUCUCAGUUGGUAGAGUGUUUGCCUCAAAUGCACAAGGCCCUAGGUUCGAUCUCUAGCCCA
rnacentral:tRNA from 1 species